AAACAACCCCCUAUGUUUUGAUUCUUUGGCAGUUUUGGACCCCCAAGGCAAAAAAUAAAAUAAAAUUUGACACGUGGCACCUCACUUAGGGUGCCACGUCAGCGUUGACCGAGUCAACAUUGGACUGGGGGUCCAAAACUGCCAAAGAAUCAAAACAUAGGGGGCUAUUU
rfam:Medicago truncatula strain A17 chromosome 5, whole genome shotgun sequence.